rnacentral:rRNA from 1 species
ACUCCUACGGGAGGCAGCAGUGGGGAAUAUUGCACAAUGGGGGAAGCCCUGAUGCAGCCAUGCCGCGUGUGUGAAGAAGGCCUUCGGGUUGUAAAGCACUUUCAGUAGGGAGGAAAGGGUGAGUCUUAAUACGGCUCAUCUGUGACGUUACCUACAGAAGAAGGACCGGCUAACUCCGUGCCAGCAGCCGCGGUAAUACGGAGGGUCCGAGCGUUAAUCGGAAUUACUGGGCGUAAAGCGUGCGCAGGCGGUUUGUUAAGCGAGAUGUGAAAGCCCUGGGCUCAACCUAGGAAUAGCAUUUCGAACUGGCGAACUAGAGUCUUGUAGAGGGGGGUAGAAUUCCAGGUGUAGCGGUGAAAUGCGUAGAGAUCUGGAGGAAUACCGGUGGCGAAGGCGGCCCCCUGGACAAAGACUGACGCUCAUGCACGAAAGCGUGGGGAGCAAACAGGAUUAGAUACCCUGGUAGUCCACGCCGUAAACGAUGUCUACUCGGAGUUUGGUGUCUUGAACACUGGGCUCUCAAGCUAACGCAUUAAGUAGACCGCCUGGGGAGUACGGCCGCAAGGUUAAAACUCAAAUGAAUUGACGGGGGCCCGCACAAGCGGUGGAGCAUGUGGUUUAAUUCGAUGCAACGCGAAGAACCUUACCUACUCUUGACAUCCACAGAAGACUGCAGAGAUGCGGUUGUGCCUUCGGGAACUGUGAGACAGGUGCUGCAUGGCUGUCGUCAGCUCGUGUUGUGAAAUG